GUGGGGAAUCUUGCACAAUGGGGGAAACCCUGAUGCAGCGACGCCGCGUGAACGAUGAAGCCCUUCGGGGUGUAAAGUUCUUUCGACAGGAACGAUAAUGACGGUACCUGGAGAAGAAGCUGCGGCUAACUACGUGCCAGCAGCCGCGGUAAUACGUAGGCAGCAAACGUUGUUCGGAAUUAUUGGGCGUAAAGAGUGUGUAGGCGGUUUUGUAAGUUUGGUGUGAAAUCUCCCGGCUUAACUGGGAGGGUGCGCCGAAUACUGCAAGACUUGAGUACUGGAGAGGAUAGCGGAAUUCCUGGUGUAGCGGUGAAAUGCGUAGAUAUCAGGAGGAACACCGGCGGUGUAGACGGCUAUCUGGACAGUCACUGACGCUGAGACACGAAAGCGUGGGUAGCAAACAGGAUUAGAUACCCCGGUAGUCC
rnacentral:rRNA from 1 species